rnacentral:rRNA from 1 species
GAGUUUGAUCCUGGCUCAGAACGAACGCUGGCGGCGCGUUUUAAGCAUGCAAGUCGAACGGUAGAGUUCCUUCGGGAACUUGAGAGUGGCGAACGGGUGAGUAACACGUAGAUGAUCUGCCUUGAAGUUGGGGAUAGCUCAUAGAAAUAUGGGGUAAUACCGGAUAAUAUCUUAGAACUCUGGUUUUUUGAUGAAAGGGGCUUCGGCCUCGCUUUAAGAUGAGUCUGCGGCUUAUUAGCUAGUUGGUAGGGUAAAGGCCUACCAAGGCGACGAUAAGUAGCCGGCCUGAGAGGGUGACCGGCCACAUUGGGACUGAGACACGGCCCAAACUCCUACGGGAGGCAGCAGCUAAGAAUCUUCCGCAAUGGGCGCAAGCCUGACGGAGCGACGCCGCGUGGACGAAGAAUGCCGAGAGGUNGUAAAGUCCUUUUAUAUGCGAAGAAUAAUGCCUUUAGGUAAUGAUCGGCAGAUGACGUUAGCAUAUGAAUAAGCUCCGGCCAAUUACGUGCCAGCAGCCGCGGUAA